GCCUAGAGUCCCAGCUGCUUCAGAGGCUAAGGCUGGAGGAUCACUUAAGUCCAGGAGCUCUGGGCUAUGGUGUGCUAUGCUGACCAGGUGUCUGUACUAAGUUCAGCAUCAAUAUGGUGAUCUAUCGGGAGCGGAGGACCACUAGGCUGCCCAAGGAGGGUGAACCAGUCCAGGUUGGAAAUGGAGUAGGUCAAAACUCCCAUGAUGAUCUACAAUAAAUUUUUAAAAUAGCCAGGCCUGGUGGUGUGUGCCUGUAAUU
rnacentral:sRNA from 1 species